rnacentral:lncRNA from 12 species
CCCCCCCCCCCCCCCCCCCCCCCCCCCCCCCCCCCCCCCCCCCCCCCCCCCGCGCGAGGGGGAGGGGGGGCGCGAGGGGGAGGGCGGGGCGCGCAGGCCUGGGCAGGGUGUCUCACCCCUGCCUGUUCACCCAGGACCUGUCUAAGUCGCAGUGGUGUUGAUGCUAGACCCCCGCACGGACACAGCCUUUGCAAAUGACCCGGAAGAGAGAGGAACAGAUAGAAGUCGUUAAGAUUGCAAAGACUAUGUAUGAACUGUAGGAAGAUCUGCCCAAGCUUUCACUGAAAACAUGCCAUUUUACUCUUCUGAUUUCAAGAGGUGUAAUAAGAGAGAAAUAUCCAAAGUGAUGGAUGUCGAUGCUACUGAACAUGCCACGCAACAGCUAGGGUAGAGAAAGAGUAGAUUACAGUUUCAGCAUCAUUCACGCUGCCUCUCACAUGCCAAAGUCAGUGUCACAAUCGCUAAAAGAAAAUAUUUCUUUAAUGUAUCUUUAAGUGGGGAUUAUACAGUUUCUCUGCCUAUCAUACAGAAAGAAGAAAGAGCUUAAUCUUUGUAAGCUUCUGUCUUAUUUAGAUGAGAGGUGCCAGGUAAAUGCAGGAUGGUUUCUGUUCCACAGGCAAGCACCAGAAAUCCUCACUACUUACCUCCUACCACUAAAACCUAGCCAUGGGCACCUUCACUCCCCUGCAGCCUUCAAACACACCACGCACAGGCAAAAGGCCAAAAGGAGGGAAAGAAAGAUGGAGGCACUACAGGAGCAACAGCAAGGGUACAAAGCAGGUCCAGCACUUCUGGGAUGGGAAUCCAUGAAGACAACCUUGGGGAGAUGGAAGAUGGAGAACUGGAUUCCUUUGGUGCCACAAAAUCAAUAAUAAAUGUGUCAUACAUACCCGGUACUAAUCAGGGUGUUAUUUAUACAAAUAGCAGUGAUUGCUAGAAUCUUUUUUCAAAGGCAAAAUAGAGGAGCCGUCUUUUUGCAGGGGUGCCUGGGGAAAGGACA